rnacentral:rRNA from 1 species
UCUAAGGACCGAUUUUCACCCUGGUAAUGCCCGAUCUCAUCUGAACUCGGAAGUAAAGCGGGGUCAGGCCUGGUUAGUACUUGGAUGGGAGACCGCCUGGGAAUACCAGGUGCUGUAAGCU